rfam:Candidatus Omnitrophica bacterium CG1_02_46_14 cg1_0.2_scaffold_8359_c, whole genome shotgun sequence.
GCUGGAGUAGCUCAGCUGGUAGAGCAGCGGUUUUGUAAACCGCAGGUCGUCGGUUCAAUCCCGACCUCCAGCU